CGGUAUAGUGACCGUGCGAAGGUAGCAUAAUGAUUUGUUCUUUAAUUGAGGACUGGUAUGAAUGGGUGAACGAAAAACAAACUGUCUCUUGUAUAAAUUUUGAAUUUAACAUUUGAGUGAAAAGGCUCAAAUAAACUAGGGGGACGAUAAGACCCUAUAAAUCUUUACUCUGGAGACAAAAAACAUGGAGGAUAAUGUCAAUAAUUCCGUGUUAUUAUUUUUAGUGUUUUGUUGGGGCGACAGGAGUAUAAAUAGAUAACUGCUUUAGACGUAUAGUUAAUUAUNGUUAAGUUGNNGAUAAGUGAUCCUUUAGUAUGGAUUAUAGAUUAAGUUACUUUAGGGAUAACAGCGUAAUCUCAUCUGAGAGUCCUUAUCGAAGGUGGGGCUUGCGACCUCGAUGUUGAAUUAAAGAUCCUUUAUGGUGCAGGCG
rnacentral:rRNA from 1 species